rnacentral:pre_miRNA from 1 species
CUAGUACUCCCUCCGUUCCAAAUUACUCAUCGUAGAAAUGGAUGUAUCUAGAACUAAAAUACAUCUAGAUACAUUCAUAUCUAGGACAAGUAAUUCAGAAUGGAGGGAGUACUAC